UUAGGCUUAGCUUCAAAGCCCCUUAUUGUGGUUAAGGGAAGAGUGCCUAAA
rnacentral:tRNA from 2 species